rfam:Stegodyphus mimosarum contig18965, whole genome shotgun sequence.
ACCUUCGUAGUUCAGAGGUCAGCACGCUUGGCGCGUAUUCGAGAGGUCCGAGGUUCGAGUCCCGGCGAGGGCA